rnacentral:rRNA from 1 species
GACGAACGCUGGCGGCGUGCUUAACACAUGCAAGUCGAACGGAAAGGCCCUGCUUUUGUGGGGUGCUCGAGUGGCGAACGGGUGAGUAACACGUGAGUAACCUGCCCUUGACUUUGGGAUAACUUCAGGAAACUGGGGCUAUAAUCGGAAAGGAGCUCUUGCUGCUUGGGGGGGGUUGGAAAGUUUCGGCGGUUGGGGAUGGACUGGCGGCUUAUCAGCUUGUUGGUGGGGUAGUGGCUUACCAAGGCUUUGACGGGUAGCCGGCCCGAGAGGGUGACCGGCCACAUUGGGACUGAGAUACGGCCCAGACUCCUACGGGAGGCAGCAGUGGGGAAUAUUGCACAAUGGGCGGAAGCCUGAUGCAGCAACGCCGCGUGCGGGAUGACGGCCUUCGGGUUGUAAACCGCUUUCGCCUGUGACGAAGCGUGAGUGACGGUAAUGGGUAAAGAAGCACCGGCUAACUACGUG